UGGUUUUUUUAGGUUUUGAUUUUUGGACUUGGAUGAGAAAAUCUAAAUCUAAAGAAAAUA
rnacentral:pre_miRNA from 1 species